rnacentral:tRNA from 1 species
GGGCGUGUAACCCAACUGGAGAGAGGUAUCGCUGAGAUAAAGGCGAGUCAGUGCUGGUUCGAAUCCAGCCACGCCCA